AUGCCUCACCCUGCUUUGGCUCGCGCACGGUGCGCGCACCCACUGACCUGUGCCCACUGUCUGGCACUCCCUAGUGAGAUGAACCCGGUACCUCAGAUGGAAAUGCAGAAAUCACCCGUCUUCUGCGUCGCUCACGCUGGGAGCUGUAGACCGGAGCUGUUCCUAUUCGGCCAUCUUGGCUCCUCAGGCAACCUCUUUUCUUUAUAAAUUACUCAAUCUCGGGUAUUUCUUCAUAGCAGCAUGAGAAUGGACUAAUACAAAGUCCUUUGGCUGGAGGCAACAGGAAAAAUUCUGACUAUCAUUUCCCAUGCUACCCCUCACCUUUCAAAUCCUUUACAAUAUGGGGAGCAGGAGAAAGGCAGAUCUUACUUGAGAGGACCGUGAGGGGAGCAAGGUCGAGAGUCCACAUGGAACCCCAAAAACUAGGAGAGCUAGAACAAGGACAUUUGGUAAGAAGCUCGUGGUUGGAGGUGUACGGGAGAUUUCUUGGGAUGGGACCUCCAGUAAAAGAGUGGGCAACAAGAGCAGCAGGCUUGAAUUAGAGACGAUAAAUAUGGCAUUUAAAUGAAUGAUUAGUAGACAAGGAAUGAGUAAAGGGGAUACAAAAAGAAAAAUUACUGUCAUGUGAUGUGUGAUCCAUGAUACCGUCAUAGUUUUGUUUUGCUGUGCUCCACCUUCAUACCUUCGCCUAUGUUAGAACUUCUGAGAAGCUGAAGCAU
rnacentral:lncRNA from 1 species